rnacentral:SRP_RNA from 1 species
GCCGGGUGUGGUGGCGCACACCUGUAGUCCCAGCUACUCGGGAGGCUGAGGCAGGAGAAUCGCUUGAACCUGGGAGGCGGAGGUUGCAGUGAGCCGAGAUUGUGCCACUGCACUCCAGCCUGGGUGACAGAGUGAGACUCUGUCUCAA